CCUCUGGUAGAACUGAUCAGAUGAUCUCUCUGGAAACCAGGACUAAGUAUUUGCAUUGGGAAGGCUCUCAGAGGAAUGACACGAUGAAGUCUGGGCCUGGAAUGUCCCAGGCUGAAGCCAGGAGCCUGGAACUUCAUCUGGCUCUUCCACAUCAGUGGCCGGAACCCAAGUACUUGAGCCGUCAUCUACUGCCUCCCAGGGUGCACAUUAGUGCAUUAUCAGAAAGCUGCUCAUCAAAGAUUCUUGGAAGCAGAUCGGAACCGGAACCCAGGCAAUGUGAUACAGGAAUGGAAGUGUUCAGCUCAUUGCUUCAAUAAAAUGACGGGAAUCCAAGAGGAUGUGUGUACACAAUACCAGAGAUUGGCAGAAUGAAAUUGAAAAAUGAGAUAUGAUGGAAUACUACUCAGCCAUAAAGAAGAAUGAAAUCCUGUCUUUCACAACAAAAUGGGUGUAG